rnacentral:rRNA from 1 species
CCUUCAACAGUACUAGGGGAACCUGUGUGGUAAUCGACACUCCACGUUAACAACUUACCUUCCUUUGAAAAAUCUCAGCCUGUAUACCUCCGCCUUAGCUCACCUUUAAGAGACUUAUAGUGAGCAAGAAGUGAACUCCACCAAAUGGCAGGUCAAGGUGCAGCUUAUGGGAAGGAGCAUCAUGGGUGACAAUUCGUUAUAAGAAUAAUGGACUCCUCUUGGAAACAAGGGGAUGAAAAUGGACUUAGAAGUAAGGAGUCCUUUAGAAAAGCCUCCUGAAACACUCCCUAGAAGGUGCACAAAUC